rnacentral:rRNA from 1 species
AUUGAACGCUGGCGGAAUGCUUUACACAUGCAAGUCGAACGGCAGCACGGGGGCAACCCUGGUGGCGAGUGGCGAACGGGUGAGUAAUACAUCGGAACGUGCCCAGUCGUGGGGGAUAACGUAGCGAAAGUUACGCUAAUACCGCAUACGAUCUACGGAUGAAAGCGGGGGACCGUAAGGCCUCGCGCGAUUGGAGGGGCCGAUGUCAGAUUAGGGAGUUGGUGAGGUAAAGGCUCACCAAGCCGACGAUCUGUAGCUGGUCUGAGAGGACGACCAGCCACACUGGGACUGAGACACGGCCCAGACUCCUACGGGAGGCAGCAGUGGGGAAUUUUGGACAAUGGGCGCAAGCCUGAUCCAGCCAUUCCGCGUGCAGGACGAAGGCCUUCGGGUUGUAAACUGCUUUUGUACGGAACGAAAAGGCUCUGGUUAAUACCUGGGGCUCAUGACGGUACCGUAAGAAUAAGCACCGGCUAACUACGUGCCAGCAGCCGCCGCGG